UUUCUGCUUGGGCCUCCCCAGAUUCCAAAUCAAUCGAUUUCAAGCACCAUUCAAGCACGCCGUUCUUUGAAAGACCCAUUGUUGGACCGACUUCCAGCAGAAAGUGGUUGGACUUGAGCAUUUCCUGGAGCUGUUCAAAGGUCGCUGCAUCAUUCUGGAAACACAGGUGUUUGUUAAGCUUAGGAAACGUUUUCCAGCCUAUGUAUGGUAGAAGAAACAACUGACACCGAAGGAUUAAUAAAGGCAACACAAACUGCAAUAAGCUCCUAAUUUCAUAUGCAAGUAUAUGGCUGAUUGUUUAAUAAGUUAUCUACCUACUAAGUUUUUGAUAGUCCACUGUAAGAAUUUAAAUGUCAUCAGGGAAGUGUGUAUAACAAGUUCGAAUGCCCUUUGUGUGGUCUCUGUUUGUCUUUCAUUUCUUAUGUAAUUUGCAGUUUUAACCUGAUAAAUUUAAAGUUGAUUUUUUACAGUGGUCGCCUAAUUUUAUAACAAUGUGCAGUGUUGCGUUCUUUUCUUUCUAAAUUUGUAUAUGUGUACAUUCUAAUGGGUUUUGCAACAUUCUUCCAUGGUUGACUUGUUAGUCUAAGGGAGAUAGGCUUACGCUGUUCUUCAUCCUGAACGUGUCUGCAGCCGUCAUCCUGAACAACUUUUCAGAAUCUUCAGUGAACGAGGUGCAUUCCAUUGUGCCAGUCCCAUCAGAUGCCACGAAAUUGUAGUUUGCAGCUUACUUUGGAGUAGACACGGUAUCUGCCUUACAUCUGGUGCAAGUGUAGGAUGUCCCUGCUGGAAUGUCUCCACGCCGUCCACAAGCAGAGCACCCCAGGUAUGCAUUGAUCGUGCUCAUUUGAGGGUUGGGUAUUGUAACCCUGAGCCAAUGGCGUUGCUCUUGCAAGGUGUUGUAAGGCUAGGGAAAAAAUCCGACAGGUUCACAAGUCAGGCACACUUCUUUAUAUUCUGAAGUGCAUCUACAUUACCGGAACAAUAAGACAUACAUUAUUUGUGUAUCACUUUUUCGCAUAUGAGUGUGGGUUUCCAACAGGUUUAAGCUCAGUUACCCCGGGCCACUUUCUUGAGGCCGUCACUUUUUCGCAUAUGAUCGCUUUAUUAUGAAGCAACAUUAUAACAGCUCUAAUCAGACAAAAACUACCUGUGUAUUCUGUUCUCACUGAAUGUAAAGUUAGCGUAGUUGAUUGGAUGGUAUUUUGUCGUUACUUAGUUUAGCAGUUAUGCAAUGCAAUAUAGUUUAGGUUAUGCAAUGCAAUGUAAACACAAUGAUGAUGUUGUAGCAGUCCUUAAAUUCCCUAUCUAUUUUUAGUAGCUAUGCAACGCAAUUUAGUUUAGGCUAUGUAAUAUCUUUGAUGUUCCUUCCA